rnacentral:rRNA from 1 species
AACGUAGGUGGCGAGCGUUAUCCGGAUUCAUUGGGCGUAAAGAGGGCGCAGGCGGCUGGGUAAGUCGAAUGUGAAAUCUCCUGGCUUAACUGGGAGAAGCCAUUCGAUACUAUUCGGCUCGAGUGCAACAGGGGAAGGUGGAAUUCCCGGUGUAGUGGUGAAAUGCGUAGAUAUCGGGAGGAACACCAGUGGCGAAGGCGGCCUUCUGGGUUGUUACUGACGCUUAAGCCCGAAAGCGUGGGGAG